ACCAGAAUUCAGGCAAAAAGUCUACUACAUUGCUCCCACCCAUGGCUACUAUUCCAGCUAAUGGAAUGAUAUAGAAUAGCAGUUUCAGCCUCUGUGCUAGCUGAGUGAGUUACUGAAGUUAUCUGUGUCCCUGCCCCAUCCUUGCCUCCAACCCAACCCCAUUGUGGACUUCCAUGUCUUUUUGCAGUACAUGGACACCUGACGCAGUUGAUCUGAAAGCUGAGCUCUAGCAAAAACCCUUUGUGGUGUUUUAGUGCCGCAUUUCACCCUAAGCGAAGAAUGCAAAAAUCAUCAACAUCCCAAGCAAAAGAGGCAAAGCACUGGGAUAUCUCAUGAACAAACACUAACACUGCAUUUUUGGCAAGGAACGAAUCUUGAAGACAGGAAGUGAUAAAAACGGCUAGAAAUAUAAAUGGUAUCUCAAGAACAUGAAACAACUGGCCAAAUUCUCCUCUCACACUGGUUUUGUGCUGGUGUAACUCCUGUCUUCACUUGUGUUACUCCUCAUUACCGUGAUAAAAAUGACCUCAACUGGAUGCCAGAUGGCCAAGUUGCUUUCAGUGUCUAGUAGACAAAUAUCUCUAUUCCACAAUCUGAUCUCGACCACCGUAAUAUCUCCAAUUCUACAUCUCCUUACAGCAUUUAAACUAUGAUUUCCAAAUCCAUCUCCAUGAGUUUCAUUGUGUAUCUUCUCCUGACCUGCUUUUAAGCAGCCAUUGUUUUUCACUACUGUCUUUUUACCCUCGUAAAUAUUAAAAGCCAGUUAUAUCAGGAUUGCUAGCACCUAUUGUGACGUUGUGCAGUCUAUAUGGUUUUAUAAAAACUUGAUAAUAAGUCAAUAUAAUGUAACUGAGAUAGUUUUAG